rnacentral:rRNA from 1 species
GAUGAACGCUAGCGGCAGGCCUAAUACAUGCAAGUCGAACGAUAUUUUCCAGCUUGCUGGGAGAGAAAGUGGCGCACGGGUGCGUAACGCGUAUGCAACCUACCUUUAUCAGGGGGAUAGCCCGGAGAAAUCCGGAUUAAUACCGCAUAAAAUCACAGAACGGCAUUGUUCAAUGAUCAAACAUUUAUGGGAUAAAGAUGGGCAUGCGUGUCAUUAGCUAGUUGGCGGGGUAACGGCCCACCAAGGCGACGAUGACUAGGGGAUCUGAGAGGAUGGCCCCCCACACGUGUACUGAGACACGGACCAGACUCCUACGGGAGGCAGCAGUAAGGAAUAUUGGUCAAUGGAGGCAACGCUGAACCAGCCAUGCCGCGUGCAGGAAGACUGCCCUAUGGGUUGUAAACUGCUUUUAUCCGGGAAUAAGCCUCCGAUCGUGAUCGGAGCUGAAUGUACCGGAAGAAUAAGGAUCGGCUAACUCCGUGCCAGCCGCCGCAGUAA